rnacentral:rRNA from 1 species
UGCAGUCGACGGAACGAUGGGAGCUUGCUCCCAGGCGUCGAGUGGCGGACGGGUGAGUAAUACUUAGGAAUCUGCCCAUUAGUGGGGGACAACUCGAGGAAACUCGAGCUAAUACCGCAUACGCCCUACGGGGGAAAGCGGAGGACCUUUCGGGGCUUCGCGCUAAUGGAUGAGCCUAAGUCGGAUUAGCUUGUUGGUGAGGUAAAGGCUCACCAAGGCGACGAUCCGUAGCUGGUCUGAGAGGACGAUCAGCCACACUGGGACUGAGACACGGCCCAGACUCCUACGGGAGGCAGCAGUGGGGAAUAUUGGACAAUGGGGGCAACCCUGAUCCAGCAAUGCCGCGUGUGUGAAGAAGGCCUGCGGGUUGUAAAGCACUUUCAGUAGAGAAGAAAAGCCUACGGUUAAUACCCGUGGGUCUUGACGUUACCUACAGAAGAAGCUCCGGCUAACUCCGUGCCAGCAGCCGCGGUAAUACG